CAUGCCGCGUGUAUGAAGAAGGCCUUCGGGUUGUAAAGUACUUUCAGUUGUGAGGAAGGGGGUGUCGUUAAUAGCGGCAUCUCUUGACGUUAGCAACAGAAGAAGCACCGGCUAACUCCGUGCCAGCAGCCGCGGUAAUACGGAGGGUGCGAGCGUUAAUCGGAAUUACUGGGCGUAAAGCGCAUGCAGGUGGUUCAUUAAGUCAGAUGUGAAAGCCCGGGGCUCAACCUCGGAACUGCAUUUGAAACUGGUGAACUAGAGUACUGUAGAGGGGGGUAGAAUUUCAGGUGUAGCGGUGAAAUGCGUAGAGAUCUGAAGGAAUACCAGUGGCGAAGGCGGCCCCCUGGACAGAUACUGACACUCAGAUGCGAAAGCGUGGGGAGCAAACAGGAUUAGAUACCCUGGUAGUCCACGCCGUAAACGAUGUCUACUUGGAGGUUGUGGCCUUGAGCCGUGGCUUUCGGAGCUAACGCGUUAAGUAGACCGCCUGGGGAGUACGGUCGCAAGAUUAAAACUC
rnacentral:rRNA from 1 species